rnacentral:rRNA from 1 species
UUGACCUCGAAUCAGGUAGGGAUACCCGCUGAACUUAAGCAUAUCAAUAAGCGGAGGAAAAGAAACCAACCGGGAUUACCUCAGUAACGGCGAGUGAAGCGGUAACAGCUCAAAUUUGAAAUCUGGCUCCUUCGGAGUCCGAGUUGUAAUUUGUAGAAGAUGCUUUGGGUUGUAGGUUCGGUCUAAGUUCCUUGGAACAGGGCGUCAUAGAGGGUGAGAAUCCCGUAUGCGGCCGUGACCUGCGCCCGUGUAAAGCUCUUUCGACGAGUCGAGUUGUUUGGGAAUGCAGCUCAAAAUGGGUGGUAAAUUUCAUCUAAAGCUAAAUAUGGGCCAGAGACCGAUAGCGCACAAGUAGAGUGAUCGAAAGAUGAAAAGCACUUUGGAAAGAGAGUUAAACAGUACGUGAAAUUGUUGAAAGGGAAGCGCUUGCAACCAGACUUGGGCGUCAUGGAUCACCCGAGGUUCUCCUCGGUGCACUCGAUGACGCGCAGGCCAGCAUCGGUUUGGAUGGCUGGAAAAAGGCCCUAGAAAUGUAGCUCCUCGCGGGGAGUGUUAUAGUCUAGGGCGCAAUGCAGCCCACCCGGACCGAGGACCGCGCUUCGGCUAGGAUGCUGGCGUAAUGGUUGUAAGCGACCCGUCUUGAAACACGGACCAAGGAGUCUAACAUCUAUGCGAGUGUUUGGGCGUUAAACCCAUACGCGGAAUGAAAGUGAACGUAGGUGAG